rnacentral:rRNA from 1 species
CCUACGGGUGGCAGCAGUGAGGAAUAUUGGUCAAUGGGCGCGAGCCUGAACCAGCCAAGUCGCGUGAAGGAUGACUGCCCUACGGGUGGUAAACUUCUUUUAUAAAGGAAUAAAGUGAGGCACGUGUGCCUUUUUGUAUGUACUUUAUGAAUAAGGCUCGGCCAGCUACGCGCCAGCAGCCGCGGUAAUACGGAGAAUCCGAGCGUUAUACGGAUUUAUUGGGGUUUAAGGGAGCGUAGUGGAGUUGUUAAGUCAGUUGGAAAAGUUUGCGGCUAAACCGUAAAAUUGCAAUUGAGACUGGCAGCCUUGAGUACAGUUGAGGUAGGCGGAAUUCGGGGUGUAGCGGUGAAAUGCUAGAUAUCACGAAGAAUUCCGAUUGCGAAGGCAGCCUACUAAAAUGCCACUGACAUUGAUGCACGAAAGUGUGGGGAUCAAACAGGAUUAGAUACCCCUGUAGUC